CUACAAUGCUGGGGACUGUAAUGUGGUUCUGAUGUCCAGGAUCAUUUUUACUCUUCGCCAGUCCUACAUAGAGAUGAACAUUCUCAACAUUUUGAAAGACUAAGAUUGUGUUUUUCCAACUUAAUUUUCAUGGUAAGGCAGCAGUUUUGAACUUAUGGAGCAGGGAUGAGCUUGGGUUCAUCUUAAGAAUGUUAACAAGUGUUCUGAGGCUGCAUCUAACCUCAGGUGGAGAAUGUGAUGGGCUCCAGAUGUCUGUUUUAAGCAUAGAUAGGGAGGGAGAUUUGGGACUAUUUAUCUAACAUUUCCAGGGCUCCCAGGGAGAUAACUUGACUCUCUUCAGUGCAUUAUAAUGAAAAAUGUGAUGGGGAUGCCACAGAUAGCAGGGAGAGGCAAUGGAGAGGCACUGGGCCACCCUCAUGUCCAGUACUUGCUUGUUGCCCCCAGCUCUGCCAGUGGUUUGAGCUGGAAAUAAAGAGGAUAAAUCAGAUGCAUCAGAAAGACCAUGAAGACCAAGAGGAGGAGCUAGAAGUCCAUCAGUCCUGCCAGAAAUAGGUUUGUGAACCACCACACACCUGUGCUCAGGGUCCUGGCAGGUUACACCAGGCUGCCCUCAUCCCUGCAGUUGAGGAGUAGAACCGGGCCUGGGGUCUGGGGACAGGCUCUUUCUAAAGCCUCCUGAGACUUUGGAUCCCUAGGUAAAUUCAAGGGUAUAGUCCUGGAAGUAUCUAUAUUCAAUAUGAGACUGGAACUUCCAGAAGUCUCUGGGACAUUCCAGCAUCAUCACCCCAAGAUCACUACCAAGAGCCCAUUAUGCCUUAUGACUUUUGUGGGGAAGGAAUUAUUGCUUUUAAUAAUGCUCCCCCUAACUAUUUCCCCUGCUGCUCAAAUCAUUUCAGCUGAGGGUGGUGAAGCACAUAAAGCUCCUCAGUGGGUUAUGGGAAGCUUGAGAUUGAAAACUCACAAAUAACUCUGGCAGGAUGCCCUUCCAUCCAGAGAAAGCCAAUACUGGUGACAGCUUGAAACUCCCAGAGUAAACACUAAAGGGAUCUCUAGGUAUGUUAGGUGUCUGUGUUGGUUUGGACUGGUCAAAGGUGAACAGUUUUACACUGUGAAAUCAGUAAAAGGCCUAGAAUUGUCCCCAGAACAGCUAAGCAAUGAAGACAAACUCAAAAAAUUGGAGAGUCUUGAAAUCAAAAUUCAUAGAAAGCAGCCCAAACAUGAAUAAAACUAGAGUUUUUGUGAGCACAUGAG
rnacentral:lncRNA from 1 species